CAUAUACUCCCUCCGUCCGGAAAUACUUGUCAUUGAAAUGGAUGUACCUAGAUGUAUUUUAGUUCUAGAUACAUCCAUUUUGAUGACAAGUAAUUCUGGACGGAGGGAGUAGUUA
rnacentral:pre_miRNA from 1 species